rnacentral:lncRNA from 1 species
CGGCAGCGCGCGCAUGGACCUCCUUCUUCUUUUUUUUUUUAUCGGCAAACGUUUUCAUUAAAAGCCCAACUGGGCAUAGCUUGAUACAACAAGAUUUGGCCCAAUAAACCUCAUGAAUACAACAAAGAUAAACAUUAUGCAUAAAAGACACGUGUAAACAAAACGUGGAAGCUUAAGAAAAUGCUUCGUGUGCUUCGCCGCCCACGUCACCGACUCAGUACAGUUAACGUCUUCAGAAAAUUCUCACCGCCGGUAAAAUUUCAUGUUGUCUUCUCCGCCGCGGGAAGCUUUGCCGCCAGCUACUCUGUUCUUUGUUGCAAUUGAUGUUGUACCUUUGCUAAUGAUCUCUAAAGCUGGAUAAUUGUUGUCGGAGUAAAAAAGCUGCAGGAAAUAAGAACAGCUUCUAAGCUUUAUACACAAAUCCCAAACUUCAAGGAAGCUUCAUCGCUGUACAGAUCCAAUUUACUGAUCUGAACUGUGGUCAUCUUUGCCCUGAUUCAGGCAAGAGGUGAAACGAUGAAGAAAUUACUCCAAGCAAGUUAGAAAUCUGCAACAACACUUAAAAGCAUAUCAGCUAUUCCGACAAGAGAAAAGAACAGCCAGCAAAGAGAUCGAUAAUCCGGACUUAGCCGGAAGAAUUCCGACCAAAAUUGGAAGUUAUUAUCCGAUUAAAACGGAAGGAGAAAUCCGAUAACCAGAAUUUAUUGAUCCGAUAAACGGAAAGUAUUGAUCCGAUUAGAUUAUAAAACAACAAAAAAACUAAUAGGAAAUCGGAAGAAAAAGCUCUCUCCCUGAAAGAUAGAGAUGAGAGAAGAAGACCUUCUUCUUUAUCUUUCACACAUACACUUUGAACUAAGUUAUAUCUUUAUUCAUAUACAUACUAUUCCAAAAUUUCCCAAACUUUUAAUGUGGAACGAAUAAUAUUUCCUAUUUUAUUAUAAAAC